AACGAACGCUGGCGGCGUGGCUAAGGCAUGCAAGUCGAACGGAUCUAUCCAACGGGUAACUGAAGGGUAGAUUAGUGGCGAACGGGUGAGGAAUACAUGGACAACGUACCCUGGACUCGGGGAUAGCGGCGGGCCGCAAGGCCCUUUAGCGAAAGUGCCGGUAAUACCCGAUGAUCCCGCGUGACCGCAUGGUCGUGCGGGCAAAGCUCCGACGGUCUAGGAUCGGUUCAUGGCCAUCAGCUAGUUGGCGAGGUAACGGCUCACCAAGGCGACGACGGGUACCGGGCGUGAGAGCGUGACCCGGCACAUCGGAACUGAGACACGGCCCAGACUCCUACGGGAGGCAGCAGUGGGGAAGUCUUGGACAAUGGGCGCAAGCCUGAUCCAGCCAUGCCGCGUGGGUGAAGAA
rnacentral:rRNA from 1 species